AAGGAAAGAACGGGAAAAGGAAGCAGAGGCAUGGUGAAAAGAGCUAAUCCCAACAGCAAGAUGAGGGGACCCCCAUGAAGAAGCCAGACAGAGUCUAACAAGGUAGAAUCUAUCUUUGCUCAGAUGCUUAAAAGACCAGCAAACAUAAUUUUAUUAAUAUACGUAUUUCCUCCUUUUCCCAUUAACGAACUCCCAUAAAGUUCCAUAGGAAGGAGGUUUUAUUUUAUUUUAUUUUUUGUGGUUUUUUGGCCAGGGCUGGAUUUGAACCCGCCACCUCCAGCAUGUGGGACUGGCGCCCUACUCCUUGAGCCACAGGCGCCACCCAGAAGGUUUUAAAACUCAAUUCCUUGUCCAACCUAGUGAUAGACAGUCAGUCCCACACUCCCUCUUCUGUACUCAGUUCAAAUUCCUAAACACACUGGAAUUAGACAAGGCAGCCCAGCCAGUGAAGGGUUCCUUUUGCCCAAGCUCUAGCUUGGAGGUAUGCUUCAUCCUCUGUGACUUUCUUUUAAGUGUCUUGUAAAGUGGAAAAAUAAACAAGGUUUCUUAAAGAGGAAGUCUUGGAUUACCUAUUAAUUUGCUGUUUAACUCAACUCAAGUUGUUAACUCUCUAAUCACCUUACCCUAAUAGAUCAGGAAGAUAACUAGCCUAGGGUGUAUCUUCUAAAUAGAUUCUAGACUGCAAAGCAAAAGAAUGGAACUUUGGGAUGCUUACCUCACCUCCCUUCAACUUGUUUCCCCAACCCUUUUCCUCUCCCUGGCCUCUAUCCCACAAUGAAGUACAGAUCUAGAGUCCAAGUAAACUCAUGCUGCGUCCCUGGCAACGUAACGAAAAACAGGAUGCACAUGGAUAAUGGUAGAAGACCCUCCUCCCUAUGAUGGCCUUUCUGCCACCCCAACACCUUUACUGGUGACAGGUAUACUGACUGCCACAAUCAUACAAGAAUUUAAUCUGCCCUGCACACCACCCAGUCCAGAUGCUUAUCCAAGUGCCUGGUCAACACGAUCUCUCCUCUGCAGCCCAGAUUGUACCUGAAUUCUAUUACCCUGCUUUCCUCCUGGCAGGCAGGCAUGGGGGCAGCUAUAGAAAUAAUCUGGGCCACCAGCCCCUGUGAGGGGGAAGACAGCCUCCAAAACAAUCAGGACUGGCACAAAAAUUUCUAUAAACUGGUACAUUCAGGGAACUGGGAAGGGGGGCAGAGGGCUGGGACUACAAACUAACCACUAGACUACAGGAAAAGAAAAUCAAUAAGUUAACAUCAGCUGAAAUUACUAAGAAACUAUUUGUGUCUCUAUUAUUCAAAACACCACAAAGACAAGUAUUCUCUGGUUCUGUCUCUUCCAGGAAAGCAGAUGCCUAGAAGAGACAACUCACAUCUCCUCACAAACUUAAGGCCAACCCAUCAAGAGCACAUCAGGCCAUCAGGC